rnacentral:rRNA from 1 species
UACGUAGGGUGCGAGCGUUAAUCGGAAUUACUGGGCGUAAAGCGUAUGUAGGCGGAUCUUUAAGUCAGGGGUGAAAUCCCGAGGCUCAACCUCGGAACUGCCUUUGAUACUGGGGAUCUUGAGUCCGGGAGAGGUUAGUGGAACUGCGAGUGUAGAGGUGAAAUUCGUAGAUAUUCGCAAGAACACCAGUGGCGAAGGCGGCUAACUGGCCCGGUACUGACGCUGAAAUACGAAAGCGUGGGGAGCAAACAGG